rnacentral:rRNA from 1 species
CCUACGGGUGGCAGCAGUGGGGAAUAUUGGACAAUGGGGGGAACCCUGACCCAGCGACGCCGCGUGAGUGAAGAAGUAUUUCGGUAUGUAAAGCUCUAUCAGCAGGGAAGAAAAUGACGGUACCUGACUAAGAAGCCCCGGCUAACUACGUGCCAGCAGCCGCGGUAAUACGUAGGGGGCAAGCGUUAUCCGGAUUUACUGGGUGUAAAGGGAGCGCAGGCGGUGCGGUAAGUCUGAUGUGAAAGCCCGGGGCUCAACCCCGGGACUGCAUUGGAAACUGGCGUUCUGGAGUGUCUGAGGGGCAAGUGGAAUUCCUGGUGUAGGGGUGAAAUGCGUAGAUAUUAGGAGGAACACCAGUGGCGAAGGCGGCUAGCUGGAAGACAACUGACGCUGAGGCGCGAAAGCGUGGGGAGCAAACAGGAUUAGAUACCCCUGUAGUC